CUUAGAGUUUGAUCCUGGCUCAAGACGAACUCUGGCGGCGUGCCUAACACAUGCAAGUCGAACGGAACUGUUCUGAAAGAUUUCUUCGGAAUGAAUUUGAUUUAGUUUAGUGGCGGACGGGUGAGUAACGCGUGAGUAACCUGCCUUCAAGAGGGGGAUAACAUUCUGAAAAGAAUGCUAAUACCGCAUGACAUAUCGGAACCACAUGGUUUUGAUAUCAAAGAUUUUAUCGCUUGAAGAUGGACUCGCGUCCGAUUAGUUAGUUGGUGAGGUAACGGCUCACCAAGACCGCGAUCGGUAGCCGGACUGAGAGGUUGAACGGCCACAUUGGGACUGAGACACGGCCCAGACUCCUACGGGAGGCAGCAGUGGGGGAUAUUGCGCAAUGGGGGCAACCCUGACGCAGCAACGCCGCGUGAAGGAUGAAGGUUUUCGGAUUGUAAACUUCUUUUAUUAAGGACGAAACUUGACGGUACUUAAUGAAUAAGCUCCGGCUAACUACGUGCCAGCAGCCGCGGUAAUACGUAGGGAGCAAGCGUUGUCCGGAUUUACUGGGUGUAAAGGGUGCGUAGGCGGCUUUGCAAGUCAGAUGUGAAAUCUAUGGGCUCAACCCAUAAACUGCAUUUGAAACUGUAGAGCUUGAGUGAAGUAGAGGCAGGCGGAAUUCCCCGUGUAGCGGUGAAAUGCGUAGAGAUGGGGAGGAACACCAGUGGCGAAGGCGGCCUGCUGGGCUUUAACUGACGCUGAGGCACGAAAGCGUGGGUAGCAAACAGGAUUAGAUACCCUGGUAGUCCACGCUGU
rnacentral:rRNA from 1 species